GUUUAAGCAACAACUGCAAUCUUUAAUGGAGACCUUGAACACUACAGAGCCACAUUACAUCAGAUGUGUAAAGCCCAAUACGGUUCUAAAGCCUGGAAUAUUUGAGAACAUGAAUGUAUUAAACCAAUUAAGAUGUGGGGGUGUCUUAGAGGCGAUCAGGAUAAGUUGUGCAGGAUACCCAACAAAAAGAACAUUCGACGAGUUCCUUGACCGCUUUGGGACGUUAGCUCCAGAUGUUCUUGACGGAUGUGAUGAGAAGUCAGCAUGCAUUGCAAUUUGUGAUAGAAUGGGCUUAAAGGGUUAUCAGAUUGGGAAAACCAAAGUUUUUCUCAGAGCCGGGCAGAUGGCUGAAUUAGAUGCCAGAAGAACAGAAGUUCUAGCUCAUGCUGCAAAGCGCAUUCAGAGACAAAUUCGAACAUAUCUUACCCGAAAGGAGUUCAUAGCCCUAAAGAGAGCUACAAUUCAUUUCCAGAAACUAUGGAGAGCACAACUUGCCAGAGUGCUGUAUGAAC
rnacentral:misc_RNA from 1 species